AGAGUUUGAUCCUGGCUCAGAUUGAACGCUGGCGGCAUGCCUAACACAUGCAAGUCGAACGGCAGCGCGGGGAGCCUGCUCCCUGGCGGCGAGUGGCGGACGGGUGAGUAAUGUGUAGGAAUCUGUCGAGAAGACUGGGAUAACCUGGGGAAACCCAAGCUAAUACCAGAUAAGCCCUACGGGGGAAAGCAUGGGACCUUUAUGGCCAUGCGCUUUUUGGUGAGCCUACAUUGGAUUAGCUAGUUGGUAGGGUAAAGGCUUACCAAGGCGACGAUCCAUAGCUGGUCUGAGAGGAUGAUCAGCCACACUGGGACUGAGACACGGCCCAGGCUCCUACGGGAGGCAGCAGUGGGGAAUAUUGGACAAUGGGCGAAAGCCUGAUCCAGCAAUGCCGCGUGUGUGAAGAAGGCCUGAGGGUUGUAAAGCACUUUCAGCGAGGAGGAAGGUUGUGUAGUUAAUAGCUGUGCAAUUUGACGUUACUCGCAGAAGAAGCACCGGCUAACUCUGUGCCAGCAGCCGCGGUAAUACAGAGGGUGCAAGCGUUAAUCGGAAUUACUGGGCGUAAAGGGUGCGUAGGUUGUAAUGUAAGUUAGGUGUGAAAUCCCCGGGCUCAACCUGGGAAUGUCGCUUAAAACUGCAUAACUAGAGUACUAGAGAGGAUAGUGGAAUUUCCGGUGUAGCGGUGAAAUGCGUAGAUAUCGGAAGGAACACCAGUGGCGAAGGCGACUGUCUGGCUAGAUACUGACAAUGAGGCACGAAAGCGUGGGUAGCGAACAGGAUUAGAUACCCUGGUAGUCCACGCCGUAAACGAUGAGAACUUGCUGUUGGACACAUAAAAGUGUUUAGUAGCGAAGCUAACGCGCUAAGUUCUCCGCCUGGGGAGUACGGCCGCAAGGCUAAAACUCAAAGGAAUUGACGGGGGCCCGCACAAGCGGUGGAGCAUGUGGUUUAAUUCGAUGCUACGCGAAGAACCUUACCUACUCUUGAAUCCAUGGAAUUUAUCAGAGAUGAUGAAGUGCCUUCGAAACCAUGAGACAGAUGCUGCAUGGCUGUCGUCAGCUCGUGUCGUGAGAUGUUGGGUUAAGUCCCGUAACGAGCGCAACCCUCAUUCUUAGUUGCCAGCACGUAAAGGUGGGGACUCUAGGAAAACUGCCGGUGAUAAACCGGAGGAAGGUGAGGACGACGUCAAGUCAUCAUGGCUCUUACGAGUAGGGCUACACACGUGCUACAAUGGCCAGUACAAAGGGUUGCGAAUCCGCGAGGUGGAGCAAAUCCCAUCAAAGCUGGUCUUAGUCCGGAUUGGAGUCUGCAACUCGACUCCAUGAAGUUGGAAUCGCUAGUAAUCGUGGAUCAGAAUGCCACGGUGAAUACGUUCACGGGCCUUGUACACACCGCCCGUCACACCAUGGGAGUGGGUUGCACCAGAAGUGGUUAGGCUAACCUUCGGGGGGCCGAUCACCACGGUGUGAUUCAUGACUGGGGUGAAGUCGUAACAAGGUA
rnacentral:rRNA from 1 species